rnacentral:piRNA from 1 species
UUUCAUAAGCUUGACACGACC